UACGUAGGGUGCGAGCGUUGUCCGGAAUUACUGGGCGUAAAGAGCUCGUAGGUGGUUUGUCGCGUUGUCCGUGAAAACUCACAACUCAAUUGUGGGCGUGCGGGCGAUACGGGCAUCACUGGAGUUCGGCAGGGGAGACUGGAAUUCCUGGUAUAGCGGUGAAAUGCGCAGAUAUCAGGAGGAACACCGGUGGCGAAGGCGGGUCUCUGGGCCGAUACUGACGCUGAGUGCGCGAAAGCCAGGGGAGCAAACGGG
rnacentral:rRNA from 1 species